AAAAGAAAAUCAUUAAUUUGCAUUAAAUAUAUAGGUUAUCAUUUAAAAAACUAAUUUUGUUAUCACGACAGAAAACUCCUUAAAAUAAUUCAGAACAUUUAAUUUGAAUAUGUUAUAUUCUCAAUUAUAUUUUUACUUUGAUAUUUUAAUAACAUUUACCUAGAAGAUCAAUAUUUUACAAUAGCAAAUUUUGAAGAGAUGGCUGCUUUGUUCGCUAUUGACAUUAAUUAUUAACAUGAUAAUUUAAUUCACAUGAGACAAAUGGAA